rnacentral:rRNA from 1 species
GAUCAUGGCUCAGAUUGAACGCUGGCGGCAGGCUUAACACAUGCAAGUCGAACGGUAACAUAAAGAAGCUUGCUUUUUUGAUGACGAGUGGCGGACGGGUGAGUAAUGCUUGGGAAUCUAGCUUAUGGAGGGGGAUAACUACGGGAAACUGUAGCUAAUACCGCGUAAUAUCGAAAGAUUAAAGUGUGGGACCUUCGGGCCACAUGCCAUAGGAUGAGCCCAAGUGGGAUUAGGUAGUUGGUGAAGGG